rnacentral:rRNA from 1 species
GUGGGUAGUUUGACUGGGGCGGUCUCCUCCUAAAGAGUAACGGAGGAGCACGAAGGUUGGCUAAUCCUGGUCGGACAUCAGGAGGUUAGUGCAAUGGCAUAAGCCAGCUUGACUGCGAGCGUGACGGCGCGAGCAGGUGCGAAAGCAGGUCAUAGUGAUCCGGUGGUUCUGAAUGGAAGGGCCAUCGCUCAACGGAUAAAAGGUACUCCGGGGAUAACAGGCUGAUACCGCCCAAGAGUUCAUAUCGACGGCGGUGUUUGGCACCUCGAUGUCGGCUCAUCACAUCCUGGGGCUGAAGUAGGUCCCAAGGGUAUGGCUGUUCGCCAUUUAAAGUGGUACGCGAGCUGGGUUUAGAACGUCGUGAGACAGUUCGGUCCCUAUCUGCCGUGGGCGCUGGAGAACUGAGGGGGGCUGCUCCUAGUACGAGAGGACCGGAGUGGACGCAUCACUGGUGUUCGGGUUGUCAUGCCAAUGGCACUGCCCGGUAGCUAAAUGCGGAAGAGAUAAGUGCUGAAAGCAUCUAAGCACGAAACUUGCCCCGAGAUGAGUUCUCCCUGACUCCUUGAGAGUCCUGAAGGAACGUUGAAGACGACGACGUUGAUAGGCCGGGUGUGUAAGCGCAGCGAUGCGUUGAGCUAACCGGUACUAAUGAACCGUGAGGCUUAACCUUACAACGCCGAAGGUGUUU